rnacentral:rRNA from 1 species
UAGGGAAUAUUGCGCAAUGGACGAAAGUCUGACGCAGCCACGCCGCGUGAGUGAGGAAGGCCUUCGGGUUGUAAAGCUCUGUCGCCUGGGAAAAACGGCUAUCCGGGGAAAGUUCGGGUAGCGUGAUGGUACCAGGAAAGGAAGCACCGGCAAACUCUGUGCCAGCAGCCGCGGUAAUACAGAGGGUGCAAGCGUUGUUCGGAAUUACUGGGCGUAAAGCGUGCGUAGUCGGUAUUGAGAGUCGCGGGUGGAAUCCCAGGGCUUAACCCUGGAACUGCCUGCGAGACCUCAGUACUAGAGUGUGAGAGGGGAUAGUGGAAUACCCGGUGUAGCGGUGAAAUGCGUAGAUAUCGGAAGGAACAUCGGUGGCGAAGGCGUCUACCUGGCCUAAUACUGACACUGAGGCACGAAAGCGUGGGGAGCAAACAGGAUUAGAUACCCAAGUAGUCCCUGAGCGGGCUGGGCAAGGCGCAU